UCCAGGUAUGAAUGUGGAACUGUGUGAAUGUGACAGGUUGUCGUUGCGAAUGACAAAUUGUUCUCAAUCAACUUACCUGGAUAAAUAAAGCUAAAAAAAAAAAGUAAGUUC